CUAAGCAUAACCCUACGUAACUCAGGAGGGUGGAAGGCCACAAGAGUAUGGAGCCUUCCUGGUUUUAGGCUUCAGCAGACAAGAGUCCCUCCAUGUUUGAACUUUAAUCGACCUAAAAGGCCAGGUGUAACAGCCGUUAUCAGUUGCAACAGUUCUAACUGGUCUAAAGCAGAAAUAAUGAGGCCUGUGCACCUUUAGCAGAAGGACAAGAUAACUUGCAGAAGGAAAACUUACUAACGAGCUGCCGCGGCCAAGAUUACUUAAUGCACCUGCGCAUACGUAAUUGCUACAGGGGGAGGAAGGAGGAGGAGGGAGGGGAAAUGGGGGAUUGCUAGUCAGUGAGAAAAGUUCUCAUGGAUAUAAAGGAACAGACUGCUUGUUUUAGGUUUGCUUGAUCUGAGUCAAUCUCCCUGCACCGCUUUGAGAUCUCAAAUAAACUUGGUUUGCUUCUCCACCCUGGUGUGUUUAUUGGCGCGGCACACCAGGCGACGGACCCCCCCGCUGUUGCUUGGCCUCAGGCAGUUAUCUGCCGGCAACAGUUCUUGGCGCCCAACGUGGGGCAUUGAGGCUAAAAUUAGCCUUGCCUGGAUCCCUUCUGGUGGUCGACGGAUUGCGGUGACGACCGACGCCCAGCGCGCACCGGUGACUUCACCGGGGGCCUCGGCGGAGACGCAGUUCGACUGACCCCAGAGGGCACAACGGUGCAACGCGCUCGAGUAGUGGAGAAGCAGUUGAGGGCGACGGUGAGGAACCGGUCCCUUGGAUAAGCUUAACUGUCCAGUAAGAUCCAACAGUGUGCCUUUGUGACCCCGGAGCCGGUGUGGCUUGGUGACACUGAAGAAGCUGCAGGCAGCCGACCUGGACUGGAAUCUCUGAAAGAGACGCCGCAGGAGAUUCCAGGGUGCAAGAGAACAGCCCUCCAAAGAGCGGAAGCAUGUUAGAAAUUCUGGACAAACUGUAUACAGGAUAAUCUCCAGUCCACCUUUCCCCCCUUCUCUGAACAUUAUACACAGAAGUGGCCAGUCUGGACGUACGUGUGUGGGUAUGAAAGGGGCUUGGGGCAUUAAUGUUUUCCUGAGUGAUGAGGGAGCGUUCCCAACACUCUCCGUUGUUGUUGUAUUAUUUUAUUAAUGGAGCUUUAAAAUACAGUUAUAUGGUGUGUUUUCUUUAUCUUCCCCCAACGAUCCUGUAGUGUCAGCCUGAUCACCUGACACGAGGGAUAGAUUGGUAACAGAAAUUUGUCACAGUUUGGUGAGCAAUUAAGAAGGGGGGAGCCCUGCAGAAUUUACACCAUCUAUUUGUUUUACCCUUGUUAUUUUGUGUUUGCUUUGCUUGGUACUGUUGGUGUUAUAUGUUGAGAACUGCAUGAGUAAAAGUGAGUCCUAAUAGGAUAAGAAAACGCUAUCUGGUUCUGGUUCUGUUCUGUUUAACCGGUUACUGUUGUUUUUCUGCUCUGUUCAUUUGGGCAUUAGGAGUGUGGGCAGAACUGAACCUCUUGUUCGUAAUUCCUCGGAGUGGAAGCCAUGUGUGCGAGAAAGUUCUGAGGUUGAAUUGAGAUCCUUCUGUCCCGUCCCCUGUAGCGGUCAGUGUAUAGAAGUGGGAAAGUCUGGCUUAGACUGUAAUUCCCUCUGCUCUCUGUGUAAUUCUCUUUUCUGUUUAAGUGUCAAAUAGAUGAAUGAGUCUCUGGGUAAACCCUCUAAGAAUAGUCCUUUAAAUUAUAUGUUAAGUAAAUGGCCUUUGCCCAAUGGGCCAUGUGUUUUUGUCCAGGUGGCAAGCCUCAUGAAGGAGGACUUGGGUAGUCUUGUGAGUAAGAAUGUUUAAGGGAAGAGACCAGGAGGGGUGGGGGCUAGAUGAGAAGCCCACCCUCCUAGCUAAACUGGUAGUGGAACAAGUUGGUGCCCAUGGAAGGGACGGUUCAGCAAGAAAAGCAGGAUCGGGCCCAGGCGGGCAGGCAACAGACAGAGAGAUUGGAAAACAGGUUGGAAAACUUUAAGGGUGUAGUGGAAGGAAGGAGUCAGUAAGUGUAAGCAUGUAGAUUUCAAAUACCCAGGACUUACUUGGAAUGGUGAUUUAAGUUGAUAAAAGUGGCUGUUGGGAGACAAGCAAGUGAUUUUAAGGAGAGUGAGGAGUUAACUCUGUAGUUGCUGAACGAAACAGCAGUUGAACUUUGUAAAAAUGCUAAAUAAAAAAAAGUUUUUGGUGUCUGUGAAAUGUUUGUAAAUAAAUUCAGGAAAAGAAGUUAUUGGAUUGCAAUCAUUUGGUUUGGCUAUGAACAAUUUAGUUGAAUUAGCUGAAGAAUGUAUACAGUGUUAUGUAAUUGAAAACCUGGGCUGCCUAUGAAACAAAUACAAGAAACUAUGGGGUAAUUCCUCUGUUUUGCCUGAAGCCAACAAGAGUAUUUGUAUAUUUCAAGCGAUGAUUGUCUGCCCAGAAGGGGUGGGUAGACCUCUCUUUUUUUUGUCUUUCAGAUAAUCAGAGAAAACUGAUGCCAGCUGAACAGCAUUCAACGUACCAUGCAUUUACUGGCACAAUAGGAAUCAUGUUUUGUGUUCUAUGUUCUGUCCUGUGGUGUUUGUCUUGUGGCCGGAAUUUUUGUGUUUAAUAUUUUUAUAAAAUAGUCUAGUUUAAAAUCAAACAAAAAGAUUAAAUUAAAAUGCAGAUAUUUGUUUUGUUCAACUUGGAAUAUAAAGUGUUUGGAUAAAUCAGGAGAAUGUAAUAUACUAAAUCUAAUGCGUUUCCUUAAGUAAGGAAAAGAAACUUUAUUGGUCAAACUGUUAAUUGCAAAAAUUGUUGUUAAAAUUUGCAUACCAACAGUCUUUGAAAGCAAGGACAUGAAAAGUUAACCCACUCCCCAUAUUGUACAUGGGAUCUUUCUGGCUACCUCAGAUUUCUAGCCAGAGGGCUGAGGACGGUGGAAGG